UUAAAUCCUGUGAGAAAGAGAGUAACUUCUAUGUGUUUUAUAGAGAGCUGAGGAUGGUGGAAGCUUGGCAAAUAAGUAUUAGUGAAAAGAACUUUGGAGGAUACUAAUUGAAUUUAGUAUGUUAGUAGGUAAUCUCGCCUUAAGAGAAAGAGUGGAUAAGUUUAUCUUAUCAAUUAGAGUGGUAACGCGGAUAUAUUUCGUCUCUUGG
rfam:Clostridium difficile 630 complete genome